CCUACGGGAGGCAGCAGUGAGGAAUUUUGGUCAAUGGACGAGAGUCUGAACCAGCCAAGUCGCGUGAAGGAUGACUGCCCUAUGGGUUGUACACUUCUUUUAUAUGGGAAUAAAAUGUUCCACGUGUGUGAUUUUGUAUUUACCAUAUGAAUAAGGAUCGGCUAACUCCGUGCCAGCCGCCUCGGUAAUACGGAGGAUCCGAGCGUUAUCCGUAUUUAUUGUGUUUAAGGGGAGCGUAGGUGGAUUGUUAAGUUAGUUGUGAAAGUUUGCGGCUCAACCGGAAAAUUGCAGUUGAAACUGGCAGUCGUGAGUACAGUAGAGGUGGGCGGAAUUCGUGGUGUAGCGGUGAAAUGCUUAGAUAUCACGAAGAACUCCGAUUGCGAAGGCAGUUCACUGGACUGCAACUGACACGGAGGCUCGAAAGUGUGGGUAUCAAACAGGAUUAGAUACCCUUGUAGUC
rnacentral:rRNA from 1 species